rnacentral:rRNA from 1 species
AUUGAACGCUGGCGGCAGGCCCAACACAUGCAAGUCGAGCGGUAGAGAGAAGCUUGCUUCUCUUGAGAGCGGCGGACGGGUGAGUAAUGCCUAGGAAUCUGCCUGGUAGUGGGGGAUAACGUUCGGAAACGGACGCUAAUACCGCAUACGUCCUACGGGAGAAAGCAGGGGACCUUCGGGCCUUGCGCUAUCAGAUGAGCCUAGGUCGGAUUAGCUAGUUGGUGAGGUAAUGGCUCACCAAGGCGACGAUCCGUAACUGGUCUGAGAGGAUGAUCAGCCACACUGGAACUGAGACACGGUCCAGACUCCUACGGGAGGCAGCAGUGGGGAAUAUUGGACAAUGGGCGCAAGCCUGAUCCAGCCAUACCGCGUGGGUGAAGAAGGCCUUCGGGUUGUAAAGCCCUUUUGUUGGGAAAGAAAUCCAGCCGGCUAAUACCUGGUUGGGAUGACGGUACCCAAAGAAUAAGCACCGGCUAACUUCGUGCCGGCAGCCGCGGUAAUACGAAGGGUGCAAGCGUUACUCGGAAUUACUGGGCGUAAAGCGUGCGUAGGUGGUUAUUUAAGUCCGUUGUGAAAGCCCUGGGCUCAACCUGGGAACUGCAGUGGAUACUGGAUGACUAGAAUGUGGUAGAGGGUAGCGGAAUUCCUGGUGUAGCAGUGAAAUGCGUAGAGAUCAGGAGGAACAUCCAUGGCGAAGGCAGCUACCUGGACCAACAUUGACACUGAGGCACGAAAGCGUGGGGAGCAAACAGG